UACGUAGGGGGCAAGCGUUGUCCGGAAUCAUUGGGCGUAAAGAGCGUGUAGGCGGUCCGGUAAGUCGGCUGUGAAAGUCCAGGGCUCAACCCUGGGAUGCCGGUCGAUACUGCCCGGACUAGAGUUCGGAAGAGGCGAGUGGAAUUCCCGGUGUAGCGGUGAAAUGCGCAGAUAUCGGGGAGGAACACCAGUGGCGAAGGCGGCGACCUGGGUUGACAUUGACGCUGAGGCGCGAAAAGCGUGGGGAGCAAAC
rnacentral:rRNA from 1 species